AAUUAUGGAAGGGAUAUUUACCUUAAUUAGGGAUGGAAACCGGUCGAUUCCCCGUGUCCAAAUCUCGCCUGAGAUAUACCCGAGGUAUGUUUUUUGGCCCAUUUGGAAGGCACACAGCCGAUCCAAUUCUAUCCCGACGCGUAGGGUUUCCUGUGGCAGCGCUCCCGGCCACUAGAGGUCGGGCAACAUUCCCCAGUUUGGAAGGACACGAGUGGAUCCAAUCGACUGCACUCCACCGCCACCAUCUCCACCAGCAUCGCCCACACCGCUGUCAUCCGCUCCGUCGCUGUGCCAUCGUCGUCCACUGUGCCGCCAUCCGCUCCACCGUCGUGCCAUCGUCGUCCACUGAGCCGCCAUUGGAAGAGUGCUAAGUGGAAGCAACAUAUGAAGCUCACAUGGAGAAGGAAAAUGGAACGACAGUCCACAUGAAGCUUGUAAAAAAGGAGUUAAACUCAUAAUACUUUCUAGUGUCAAAGUUCAACAUGAUACAUGGUUGUGGGUUUUUAUUUGUGCAUCUAGUGCAUAUUUCUACGUGUGAAUUGAGAUGAUCUUAUGUGAUGUGAUGAUGACUAGAUUAACUUUCUUGGAUAUUAGAUGAUAUUUAAGUUAAACUUUGUUGUAUAUUAGAUGAUCAUGUUGGGUGCAUGUUUUUUAGAUUUUUAGUGAUGUUUCAUUGUGUUUUUGAUUUU